rnacentral:rRNA from 1 species
AGUAGUUUGAUCAGUGGCUCGAGGACGAACGCUGGCGGCGUGCCUAACACAUGCAAGUCGAACGGAACUAUUUUGAAGGAUCUCUUCGGAGUGACGGAUUUUUAGUUUAGUGGCGGACGGGUGAGUAACGCGUGAGUAACCUGCCUCUGAGAGGGGAAUAACGUUCUGAAAAGAACGCUAAUACCGCAUAACAUAUAUUUGCCGCAUGACAGAUAUAUCAAAGAUUUUAUCGCUCAGAGAUGGACUCGCGUCCGAUUAGUUAGUUGGUGAGGUAACGGCUCACCAAGACCGCGAUCGGUAGCCGGACUGAGAGGUUGAUCGGCCACAUUGGGACUGAGACACGGCCCAGACUCC